AACACUAUCCUGAUGCUGUCAGAGU
rnacentral:miRNA from 1 species